CCGCCAUCAUCCUCGCCGCCGCGGUCUCCUCCCCCCACUCCUGCUUCCCGCCCCUUCCGUGCUUUCUAAGAAGAGCGGGAGAAGGGGGUGGGGCAGGCGACGGUAGCGGCGGUUGGCUGCGGGUGUGGCGCCUUCGGAGUUGAAAAGGCGGAGGGCAGAGAAACCCCCGUUUUUCCCUCCCUCCCCUCCGCGAGAGGCUUUUUUUUUAUAUAUACAAAAGAUCGACUUGUUUUAUCAUCUCUUGACGGCGGCGGAGCAACCGGGAGUCGGAUGUUUUGCCCUGCAGUUCAAGCCGAUUGAUUUUGCAGGUUUGCAUCCAGCUGUGUGAUACUCUGCUGUGCAAAUCCAUGCAAAACUGACUGUGGCAGUGAAAAGGCAAGAAAGUAUAUUAAGUUGUACCCCUUUCUACACAGGUUGGGAUCGGUUGCAAUGCUGUGUUAAAUCUGUGGUAUUGCACUUGUCCCGGCCUGUUGAGGUUGGUGGGGCAAGAAUCUGCAGCAACUUAAGGUCCUUUCUCAGUUAAUUGUUUUGGAGCAGCAGUUGCACUAAUAUAGUGAUCAAUGUAAUUCUUUGCAUCUAAAAUAUUUUUGGUUAAAUGGUGUAAUGAUACUGUGAGUACUUUUUCUUCCACUGUUGGCAAAAUGAGCUUUAAACAUAUAAAGCAACCCUGUAUAACUUAAUACUUUCAAUAAAUCACAAGCUUUAAUAUUAAUAAAAA